AGUGAACGCUGGCGGUAGGCCUAACACAUGCAAGUCGAACGGCAGCACAGUAAGAGCUUGCUCUUACGGGUGGCGAGUGGCGGACGGGUGAGGAAUACAUCGGAAUCUACUUUUUCGUGGGGGAUAACGUAGGGAAACUUACGCUAAUACCGCAUACGACCUACGGGUGAAAGCAGGGGAUCUUCGUACCUUGCGCGAUUGAAUGAGCCGAUGUGGGAUUAGCUAGUUGGCGGGGUAAAGGCCCACCAAGGCAACGAUCCGUAGCUGGUCUGGGAGGAUGAGUGGCCACACUGGAACUGAGACACGGUCCAGACUCCUACGGGAGGCAGCAGUGGGGAAUAUUGGACAAUGGGCGCAAGCCUGAUCCAGCCAUACCGCGUGGGUGAAGAAGGCCUUCGGGUUGUAAAGCCCUUUUGUUGGGAAAGAAAAGCAGCAGGUUAAUACCCCGCUGUUCUGACGGUACCCAAAGAAUAAGCACCGGCUAACUUCGUG
rnacentral:rRNA from 1 species